GACAGGGACCAGAAGAAAUGCCGCAGAUUCAAGUAUGGAGGCUGCCUGGGCAAUGCCAACAAUUUCCACAGUCGGAAACUCUGCGAACACACUUGCGGAAAUAAGGAGAAAGUUCCUUGGGUUUGUCGAUCAGCAGUCAGAACGUAUCCGUGUGAUAAACCCAAUACAGAGUUUUUCUUCAAUCUGAAAACUAUGACAUGUGAGCCUCUUAGGCCUGGUCUGUGUAGCAGGACUACGAAUGUGUUCCCCGAGGAAGCUAUGUGUAAGAGCUUAUGUGAACCAAGGAAAAGUAUCCCAUCAUUUUGCUCCAGUCCAAAAGAUGAAGGCCUGUGUUCUGCUAAUGUGACCCGCUAUUAUUUUAAUUCAAGAAACAAAGCCUGCGAGACCUUCACCUACACUGGCUGUGGUGGCAAUGAAAAUAACUUUUAUUACCUGGAUGCUUGCAACCGUGCCUGUGUUAAAGGUAGUAAAGCUUUUCUUAUUCAGUCAUCAUACAAGUAAAUGAAUAAUUCCAAAGCAAAUCCUGCUUUCUAUAUCCAUUUUAUUAGUGCCAAAUGGCCACUUCAAUAAUAAUCCUAUAAAUAUGGCACUUGUGUCCUGCCUUGGUUUCCCAGAAAGCA
rnacentral:lncRNA from 1 species